rnacentral:rRNA from 1 species
CUAACACAGGCAAGUCGAACGAGGGCUUCGGCCCAAGUGGCGCACGGGUGAGUAACGCGUGGGAACCUGCCCUGUGGUACGGAAUAACUCCGGGAAACUGGAGCUAAUACCGUAUGUGUCCUGUGGGACAAAGAUUUAUCGCCACGGGAUGGGCCCGCGUAGGAUUAGCUUGUUGGUGGGGUAACGGCCUACCAAGGCAACGAUCCUUAGCUGGUCUGAGAGGAUGAUCAGCCACACUGGGACUGAGACACGGCCCAGACUCCUACGGGAGGCAGCAGUGGGGAAUAUUGGACAAUGGGCGCAAGCCUGAUCCAGCAAUGCCGCGUGAGUGAUGAAGGCCUUCGGGUUGUAAAGCUCUUUCGCACGCGACGAUGAUGACGGUAGCGUGAGAAGAAGCCCCGGCUAACUUCGUGCCACCAGCCGCGGUAAUACGAAGGGGGCUAGCGUUGUUCGGAAUUACUGGGCGUAAAGGGCGCGUAGGCGGUACUUCAAGUCAGGCGUGAAAGCCCCGGGCUCAACCUGGGAACCGCGCUUGAGACUGGAGAACUAGAGUUCGGGAGAGGAUGGUGGAAUUCCCAGUGUAGAGGUGAAAUUCGUAGAUAUUGGGAAGAACACCGAUGGCGAAGGCAGCCAUCUGGA